rnacentral:rRNA from 1 species
UACGUAGGCAGCAAGCGUUGUUCGGAGUUACUGGGCGUAAAGGGUGCGUAGGCGGUCCUAUAAGUAUGGUGUGAAAUCUCCCGGCUUAACUGGGAGGGUGCGCUAUAGACUGUGGGACUAGAGUGUGGGAGAGGAAAGUGGAAUUCCCGGUGUAGCAGUGAAAUGCGUAGAGAUCGGGAGGAACAUCAGUUGCGAAGGCGGCUCUCUGGACCAGCACUGACACUGAGGCACGAAAGCGUGGGGAGCAAACAGG